AAGUAAAUGAUAAAAAAAAAAAAAUUAUAAAUAUACUAAGUAAUGAUAACAAUAAUAGUAGUAAUUAUAUUAAUAGUGAUAAUAAUAACAAGAUCAAUAAUUAUUAUAAUGAUAAUAUAGGUACAGGAACAACAAUAUGGUACAUAAUAAUAUGUGGAAUGUCGUUGCUUUACAUAUGCGAAUGCAGGUCUCUUUUUUUUAAAUACCAUUUGUUACGAGUUUGUCGAGGAAAAGAAUUUAAAAAAAAAAUGUAAAAAUGAAAAUAUUGCUCCCGUAUAGUUAUUAGUAAUAGGGUUGUGUGUAAUUUUCUUGUGUGACCAAACUCAUCUUGUACAAUGGUUUAAUAUCGCUUGGAUACUAUAGCAAGUCAUUAUAUUAGCUCAACAUAAUAUUUAAUAAUUCAUUAAAUUCAAUUAACAAAGUCGCCAUUGUUACACCCUACCCUUAUUAUAAAUUUUAAAUUGUAUUUUCUUUCUUUUCCAUAAUGCUCGCCAAUAAUAUUUUAGACUAUCCUUUCUUCUUUUCACAUUUCAUAGUUAUCCUCUUUAGGUGUCGUGUAUAUUUUCCUAGGAUAUGCCACCUUCCAACGACAUUUUCACCUAAUCAAUUCCUGGCUGUCAAUGAAUCUAGAUUCAUCGUUUCAUUCCUGAAUACUUUUACUUUAUUUUACUUCCGACUUUUUUUUUGAUUAAGAGUUCUUUGAUUUCGAUUUACCUUAUGAACACUUCUUGUUUGAUCAAGUUUUAAAUCUCUGAGUAACCGACAUCGCUGUAAUCUUGUAGCAACACCAUAGAAUUCUAUCUUUCCUUUUUGUUUUUUUCUCACUAGCAAAAGUUUCUCAUCUUCUUUGAAAGAACCAGUGCAAAGGCCUGUUCACUGAUUAUUGAAAAACUCCAUCACUUGAUAGUUAUGGCUUUAUUGAAGAAAAAGUUAGCUCGUUGAUGUUUGUUCAUUUGUUAGUUUUAUUUUUAAUUUUUUUAAUUUCUCUUCCGCCAAAUUUAUAAAUUAAAUAUGGCUCACUUCACUGAUUCAAAACAGAAGUCAUACAGAUAGAUCUCCAAGUAAUCAAUACUCAAAAUACCUAUUUAUAUAUUUGUACAUGAAACUGUUUAGUGCUAAGUAGCUUUACCCAAGGCGAAAGAAAUUGCAUAAUAUUUUUCUAAACAUACUUACUGUGGUCACAAAUCAAGAAAUUGUUUUAGGAAAAUUAUUUAAUCGUACUUGGGGAGCUAUCGACGUUGUUCUAUGUCUAAAGUGUUCUAAAUCAAAUUAAAAAACAACGCGCGUGCGUCAGCCAGCAUAUCAUCUCGGAAGGACCAGAAUUUCUUUUGUGAUCCCAUUUUUUCUUAAUCAUAAAUUCAUACGUAUAUCAACAAAUAUAUGAUGAAUGAUUGAAAAUGACAACAAAACGUUCGUAAUUAUUACACAAUUUGGUACGUGAAAGCAAGUUUGUUGUUGUGCAACUAAUCGUAAAUAACACUGAUGAAUUAGUAAAUUAGCUAAUUAAACGAAAGAAGAAGAGAUUUGAAAACAAAUGGAGAAAAAGAAACAACACCACAAUUUAGAUAUAUAUCGGCCUUUCAGUACUACCUGCGUAUAAUAUUGAGUACGAAAUAUGUUAUAUUUUUUACAAUGUGAAGAAUCUGUAAAUAUUAUAGUGUCAAAUUAUAUACAUAUAUACGUAUUACACAAAUACGUAUAUAUCUAUAUAUAUAUUAUAUAAUAAAAAUAGUUAUCUCGGAUGUGGGAAGAAGAACAGUGAAUAAUACGCGGUGUAAAAUUGUGCACAACUUUAUUACUCAAGUUGUUGAUUUCAAUGCAUCUCACUUCACAUUUCAUCUUUUUUUAAUGCACCAACUUCUUUCUGAUUAUUAACUGUGAUUAAGCCUUUCGAAAUUAUUUCACAGUUGCGCAAGAGGAGUAAUCUUACUUCAACUGCUAAUAUUCCUAAUGUAUUGGAAAAAAUUUCAAUCCUUUUUAGCAUUUCAUAAUUUAUAAGGUAUUUCGCAUUUCGGUUGCAUUGUCUGCUUUGUCAAUUAAUUAUUUCCACGUCUUCCUACUCGUUAUUUAAUUCUAGACCAAUGAUAUAAUUUUGAAUAUUAUGCUGCUUUCUGAUUGUACAUAAUAAUAUAUUUGAGCGCUGGUUUAUUCUGAUUAAAAUUAUGUUUGAGUUAAGUGCAGCAUUAAGGAUUGAUUUCAAACAAAAUUUUGCCCAAAAUGGACGAAUAUCUAUUUGGAACACUGUGUAAUUUGCUAAUUAUAGUUUACGGUUCAGUGCACAAUUUUCUACCGUGCAUACAUUUUUUCACAUUUUUUAUCAUUAACCAUUGUAAUGGCAUUUUGGCAAUAUCGCACAAAUAUAAUAUAGAAUGAAACAAACCAAGUUUUACAGUAGUUGUACAUUUUUUUUUCAAUUUUCAGUAAUACCUUACACCACUUUUAUCUAUUUGUAAAAAUUUCAUCAAUCUGUCAUUUUUUCAUACCAGUAAUGUCGUAUUACAUAAAUUUCAAUGAUGAAAUAGCUAGACAAUCCUUUCUUAAUUGUACAUGGAUCCAGUUACAUCUAGUUCACUAAAUGAGGAAGAAAAAAUGAAUUUUCAAUGUUGAAACUCAGCUCUGAUCAAUGUAUUUAUUUAAAAUAGGUUUAUUUUUAGGAACACAUAUUCGAUUUCACUAUCAUUGGCAAUGUGGCUUAUUUCAGAAUAACAAACUAUGCCACAGCUGUGCAAUGCACGUAUUCCAACGCACACUAUGGGAAAUGCAAUAAUACUUUCGUUACAAUGGGUCGUUUUUAUUUAGAUACGUGUAUAUAUUUAUUUGGUUGUCGCAGGGUUCGACUAACUUUUGCUUACAUUCUACAUCCUGAGCUACGUUAUUUUUUAAAUGGUUUACAUUCAUCAAGCAAACAGCAACAUUCAGUUUCUUUUUCUUGUUCAAAAAUUUGCACGCAGAAUAAUUAUUUAUUUUUGUAAAUUAUUUUUUUCCUGUCUUCUAUGUUCUUGAACACAAUUCACAUGUUAGAAAAAUUCUUCACUUACAGUAUCAAAUCUCGUAUCCUCUGAAUUCAUACAACCGGAAAUUUCAUACAAAAUUCAAACAACAGGUGAUUCACAUUUCUUGUAACCGCCCGAAUUUCUUAUUACUGCACGCAGUGUAUAAAUGUCAAUACUUUACAAAUAAUACAGGUAAAAAAAUUAUACAUCAUAUGGUCAAGUUAUGGUUUUAUUUUUACCGAUCUGUCAAAUCUGACUAGAAAUUUGACGGAUAGCAAAAAAAAUACCAUAUUUAACAUGGAACAGAAUUUCCCUGGCAGCAUUAAUUAUUUCAUCAUUAUUUACCACCUGUACUUGUUCCAUGAACGUUUUAUAUGAAACAAUUAAUGGUCUACACAAGCUCUGCUACAAAUACUACUGGCUGUCCGUAUGAAUUGAAAAUCUUUUGUUCGUUUGACGUAUGUUACAUAUAAGUACAUUCAAGGUCAAGAAGUGAGCUAAAUUUAGCAACGAUCGAACUUUGGACCAUAUUCACUUUUAAAAUUAUCUGCAUUUCAUUGGCCCUUCCCAUCAGACUACAGCUGUAAUAAGGCAAUUAUCCUACCUCGAAGUAUGCAUAAGACGAAGCAUUCCUCUGAUGUUAGUUUUCAACCAAUAGCUCAGAGUGUCAGGCAAAGGAAAGCGAGAUAAUGGGGUGAGAUAAAAAGGAAAGCUGAUAGUGGUUUCCCAUGCAAUGACGAGAUGACUUACUGACGAGACAACAAUACUGAACUGUAUGUGAAAAUGGAUGUGAUGACAAAUGCGGGAGUUGACGGUAUUUUAGUUCAUUCAUCAGGAGGCAACAUUUCUACUAACAACAUGCCUGUGUGACAUAGAGUAUAAUUUUUUUUUCAACCUUUGAUAUAAACAAACUUUGGUCAGCUUUGGGCAAGUUUGUACAAAUCGAAAUAAGCUU
rnacentral:lncRNA from 1 species